rnacentral:rRNA from 1 species
GCCCGCUCAGAAACUACAAAGGAAUUGACGGGGCCCGGCACAAGCGGUGGAGUAUGUGGUUAAUUCGAUGCAACGCGAAGAACCUUACCUGGUCUUGACAUCCCGGAGGCCCUUAGGAAACUAGGGGGUGCUUCCAUCUGGAAGAAUCUGGAGACAGGUGCUGCAUGGCUGUCGUCAGCUCGUGUCGUGAGAUGUUGGGUUAAGUCCCGCAACGAGCGCAACCCUUGCCUUUAGUUGCCAGCAGUUCGGCUGGGCACUCUAAAGGGACUGCCGGUGUUAAACCGGAGGAAGGUGGGGAUGACGUCAAGUCCUCAUGGCCUUUAUGACCAGGGCUACACACGUACUACAAUGGCCGAUACAAAGGGCAGCGACACUGCGAGGUGAAGCCAAUCCCGUAAAAUCGGUCUCAGUCCGGAUUGGAGUCUGCAACUCGACUCCAUGAAGUCGGAAUCGCUAGUAACCGCAGAUCAGCUACGUUGCGGUGAAUACGUUCCCGGGCCUU